UACGAAGGGAGCUAGCGUUGUUCGGAAUCACUGGGCGUAAAGCGAACGUAGGCGGAUUUGUCAGUCGGGGGUGAAAUCCCGAGGCUCAACCUCGGAACUGCCUCCGAUACAGCAAAUCUCGAGUCCGGGAGAGGUGGGUGGAAUUCCUAGUGUAGAGGUGAAAUUCGUAGAUAUUAGGAAGAACCCCAGUGGCGAAGGCGGCCCACUGGCCCGGUACUGACGCUGCGGUGCGAAAGCGUGGGGAGCAAACAGG
rnacentral:rRNA from 1 species